UUUUUGAUUAAUAAUUUAAAGUCUAAUCUGCCCACUGAUAAUAUAUUAAAGGGCUGCAGUAUUUUGACUGUACAAAGGUAGCAUAAUCAAUAGUCUCUUAAUUGGUGACUUGUAUGAAAGAUUUAAUGAGAUAUAUACUGUCUCUUUUUAAUUUAUAAAAUUUAAUUUUUUAGUUAAAAAGCUAAAAUAAAUUUAAAAGACGAGAAGACCCUAUAGAGUUUAAUAUUUAAUUAAAUUAAAAUUAUUUAUAAAAUUUAAAAUUUUAAUUUAUAAUAAAUAUUUUGUUGGGGUGAUAAAAAAAUUAAAAGAACUUUUUUUAUAAAUUUACAUUAAUAAAUGAAUAAAUGAUCCGUAAUUUACGAUUAAAAGAAAAAAUUACCUUAGGGAUAACAGCGUAAUUUUUUUUUUUAGUUCAAAUAAGAAAAAAAGUUUGCGACCUCGAUGUUGGAUUAAGAUAAAAUUUAAAUGCAAAAGUUUAAAAUUUUUGAUCUGUUCGAUCAUUAAAAUCUUACA
rnacentral:rRNA from 1 species